rnacentral:lncRNA from 1 species
CUCGUCCGGGUCCAGGUUAGUCUCUCCGACCCCGCCGCCUGCUCGUCCCCGUCAAACUAUGCAUAUCUGUAUACUUUCAGCUUGUAUACUUUGACAUGUGCAUACUUUAUUCUUAAUUGUGCAGAAACUUCUUUUGUGAUGCAACUAAUGGGGAAAUACAAAAAAACACAUAAUGCCGAUUGCUUUGAGCCUUUGAGUUAGAAGGUAUACCCAUCUCUGAUAGGCUUCCCUGUAUGUGCCCCUUCCAUACCAAACAUUAGUUCUAAUUCUAUGUCCUUAGCUGCAUCCAUUAGUUCACUUGUUUCAUUGAAGGUUAAUUCCUGGAAGCAACAUUACAAAGAAUAAUGGGUAUGCAUGAUAUAAUAUACUAACAAUUAGAUGUUGGGGAACAUAGUAAUUUCAAAAAAAAUUCCUAUGCACACGCAAGAUCAUGGUGAUGCAUAGCAACAAGAGGGGAGACUGUUGUCUACAUACCCUUGUAGACUGUAAGCGGAAGCGUUAGAAUAAUGCGGUUGAUGUAGUCGUACGUCUUCAAGGCCAGACCGAUCAAGCACCGAAAUUAUGGCACCUCCGAGUUCUAGCACAUGUUCAGCUCGAUGACGUCCCUCGAACUCCGAUCCAGCCGAGUGUCGAGGGAGAGUUCCGUCAGCACGACGGUGUGGUGAAGAUCUUGAUGUUCUACCAUCGCAGGGCUUCGCUUAAGCACCGCUACAAUAUUAUCGAGGAGGACUAUGAUGGAGGGGGGCACCGCACACGGCUAAGGAACGAUCACGAAGAUCAACUUGUGUGUUACAGGUGCCCCCUUGCCCCGUAUAUAAAGGAGCCAAGGGGGAGGGGCCGGCCGGCCAAGGAGGGCGCUCCAAGGAUGAGUCCUACUCCCACCGGGACUAGGAUCCCCCCCCCUUCCAUGUAAUAGGAGUAGGAGUCAAGGAAAGGGGGAAGAGAAGAGAAGGAAGGAGGGGGCGCAGCCCCUCCCCCUAGUCCAAUUAGGACUAGGCCUCGGGGGGCGCCCAACCUCUCCUCUCUCUUUCCCCUGAAGCCCAAUAAGGCCCAUAUACUCCCCGGCGAAUUCCCGAAACUCUUCGAUACUCCGAAAAAUACCCGAAUCACUCGGAACCUUACCGAACUCCGAAUAUAGUCGUCCAAUAUAUCGAUCUUUACGUCUCGACCAUUUCGAGACUCCUCGUCAUGUCCCCGAUCUCAUACGGGACUCCGAACUCCUUCCGUACAUCAAAACUCAUAAAUUCAUAAUAUAACUGUCAUCGAAACCUUAAGCGUGCGGACCCUACAGGUUCGAGAACUAUGUAGACAUGACCGAGACAUGUCUCUGGUUAAUAACCACUAGCGGAACCUGGAUGCUCAUAUUGGCUCCCACAUAUUCUACGAAGAUCAUUAUCGGUCAGACCGCAUAACAACAUACGUUGUUCCCUUUGUCAUCGGUAUAUUACUUGCCCGAGAUUCGAUCGGCGGUAUCCAAUACCUAGUUCAAUCUCAUUACCGGCAAGUCUCUUUACUCGUUAUGUAAUGCAUCAUUCCAUAACUAACUCAUUAGCUACAUUGCUUGCAAGGCUUAUAGUGAUGUGCAUUACCGAGAGGGCCCAGAGAUACCUCUCCGACAAUCGGAGUGACAAAUCCUAAUCUCGAAAUACGCCAACCCAACAUGUACCUUCGGAGACACAUGUAGAGCUCCUUUAUAAUUACCCAGUUAUGUUGUGACAUUUGGUAGCACAAAAAGUGUUCCUCCGGUAAACGGGAGUUGCAUAAUCUCAUAGUCAUAGGAACAUGUAAAAGUCAUGAAGAAAGCAACAACAACAUACUAAACGAUCGUGUGCUAAGCUAACGGAAUGGGUCAAGUCAAUCACAUCAUUCUCCUAAUGAUGUGAUCACGUUAAUCAAAUGACAACUCAUGUCUAUGGUUAGGAAACUUAACCAUCUUUGAUUCACGAGCUAGUCAAGUAGAAGCAUACUAGUGACACCCUGUUUGUCUAUGUAUUCACACAUGUAUUAUGUUUCCGGUUAAUAAAAUUCUAGCAUGAAUAAUAAACAUUUAUCAUCAUAUAAGGAAAUAAAUAAUAACUUUAUUAUUGCCUCUAGGGCAUAUUUCCUUCAGUCUCCCACUUGCACUAGAGUCAAUAAUCUAGUUCACAUCGCCAUGUGAUUCAAUACCAAUAUUCACAUCUAUAUAUGAUUAAUACCCAUAGUUCACAUCGUCAUGUGAUUAACACCCAAAGGGUUUACUAGUGUAACAUCCCAAAUUUUCAAUUUGGAAUGUUAUACAAAGAUCAUCAUUGCAUAUCAUAUUUUGUUGCAUCUUUGGCUCGAUCCUAGAAAUUUCACGCAACUCAAGGACCCUCGGAGAGAGUUGGGGAUUUCGUUAUUUCUCUUAUUUGAGUUUUUCUCAAAUUUUUAAAAAUAGGAUCAUUGAUUUUGUUUAUUUUAUCUUCAAUUAUUUCUACUACCAAAGAUUCAGAGAGGGAAUAAAAUGACUUUCCCAAAAUAAAGAAAUAAUGAAGAUUUAAUAAAAAAAUCAAAUAAGAUUUAUUUUGGAGUUUUUCGCCUUUUAUUUGAAUUUAGGAAAAAAUGCGCAUUUUCAAAAUUGCAUUUAGGCCCCAAAUAAAUGUUCAUCUAGUCCGGCUUGAUUUUAGAAGCCGACGAAAAUUUAUUUCGGCAUUUUUGGAGUCCGUUUAGUAUUUCUUUUUAUUUUUCUACCGAGCAUAAUGUUAAAAAAACGCGCACCGACUCUGGGCCGUACCCGAGAGGGACUCCGCUCGGGGGCGCUAUAUAAAUAGCGCCGGGACCCCGCCCCAGCCCGCCAGAUCGCCCCGCCGCCAGCCCAACCCGCCGCCCCGGCCCACCCACNNNNNNNNNNNNNNNNNNNNNNNNNNNNNNNNNNNNNNNNNNNNNNNNNNNNNNNNNNNNNNNNNNNNNNNNNNNNNNNNNNNNNNNNNNNNNNNNNNNNNNNNNNNNNNNNNNNNNNNNNNNNNNNNNNNNNNNNNNNNNNNNNNNNNNNNNNNNNNNNNNNNNNNNNNNNNNNNNNNNNNNNNNNNNNNNNNNNNNNNNNNNNNNNNNNNNNNNNNNNNNNNNNNNNNNNNNNNNNNNNNNNNNNNNNNNNNNNNNNNNNNNNNNNNNNNNNNNNNNNNNNNNNNNNNNNNNNNNNNNNNNNNNNNNNNNNNNNNNNNNNNNNNNNNCCGGAGCCUCGCCGGACUUCGUCGUCGCCGCCGCCGAGGUUCGCCGCUGCCUCGAACCGCGUGCCGCCGGUUUUCUUAAAAACCGGGCGGUUUUUAUUGCGGUUUUUAUUAGAUUCAUUUUUAUUUUAGUUUUCGGUUUUUUUCCGGUUUAGGUUAAUUAGCGGACGUUCGUCUGUUAGUUCGUUUUAACGAACGCCUUCGUCAGAUUCGUUAAAUUAACGAACGUUCGUUCGUUAAUCUGUUCGUCGUUUUUCUUUUCUCGGAUUUUUCGCAGUUAUUUUCUGAUCGCGAUUUCUGAUCCGAUUUUCGUUCCAGUAUAACUUUUCGCUCGUUUAUCAGAAUCAGGCGAUUCAAGCGCGUGGAGUUUCGUCUCGAAACCCUCUUUCCGAAUAAUCAACUUAAACAAGUUUUUGCCUCUGUAAAAUUUGACUUAGAUCCAGAUUAGUAAAACGAAGCUGUUUUCUUUCGCCGUUUGACUUUCGUUGCUUUGUUUGAUUUGGUUCUUUUUGCAACCGGAGUUCUUAAGUUGAACAUUCUGGUUGGAACUUUUAUUCGAGUUUUACCUGUGCAUUCGAGGAGUACUUAUUGUAUGCUUGUUUGUUUGUCUGCGAUAGAAUACCCGGAGUGCGCCGCCUGUUACUUCGAGUCUCUAGGUUUCGCGGAUCAUCAGCAAGGCAAGUAACACUUGAUCAUACCUUUCUACUACCCAGUUUUUAUGCAUUAGAUCUAUCCUCAAACAUUGCAUGAUUAGGAUCUAAUUAAAUUGUGGGAUGGGAAGUAGAUGAGGUAGUACCUAUUACCUGUUUUAUUAUCAAACCUUUGGGAGUUACUUCUACGUUUGCUUAUUAUGCCAUGCUAUGCUAGUAGACGUGGAUUGGGUGAGAGUAUAUCCAUGACAGAUGUGAGAUUGUUAAUUAAUGGUUUAUUUAAGGUGGCAACUUAAACACACAUCUGGGUGGAUUGAGGCACCUGUUUUCUAGCAGGACUUGCCUGUUUUUCUUUGGACCGCCACCCAGGCUCAAAGGGAUCAUGAGAUUAUUCAAACUAGAAACUUACGUGUGCAGCCACAUGCUAUUAUGGGCUCUAGCAUAGUUGACUAAUUUGUGCGAACUCUUACGGGGUGGACUAGCAGAUGUAGGGGAUGUAGGUUGGUACGGUCUACCCCUCAUGUAAGGUGCUAGUGCUUCUGAAAGACUAUGUCUCGGUCAUCCGUUUCUCAAACACCUUGUAGUGCGAGAAAACAAGCGGAGGCGAUCGAGUCAUGUGGGGAAAAGUGCGCAAACCUCUGCAGAGUGUACAAACUAAUCAUGAUUAGCCGUGUCCCCGGUUAUGGACAUCUUGAGUAUCUAGUACUUGAUUAUCAUGUGAAUCUCAUCAUGAUACUUUAAUUAAUAUUGUUGGGUUUUAAUGAGUACCUUUUAAUUGGGAUUGAGGAUGCUGUUAACCAUUCUCAAUGUUUAACAACCACCAUGAUAGUUAAAUGAAUUUAUUCCUUUGCAGUAGGGAAAAAUUGGCUUUAUGCAAAACUGUAACCAUAGAGCUUUACCACCAGCCAAAUUGCAUGUAGUAUAGCCUAUCUCCAUUGUUAUUCUCUAUGUGUUACAUUGCCAGCAUAUUCCAUGUGCUGACCCGUUUUCGGGCUGCAACGUUUCAUGUUGCAGACUUUUCAGACGACGAGUAAGGUGCUCUUAGGUCGUGGUUCUAUACUCAGUGAUGCCGUUGGAGUGGACUCGCUUAUCUUCCAAGCCUUCCGUUGUUAUCGUUUUAGAUGGCCUUAAGCCAUAUUUAUUUCAAUAAGUUCUCUUGUGAGACAUUCGAUGUAAUAAGUGUGUGAUUGCUACUCUGUUAUAAAUCCUCCAAGUACUGUGUGGUGUCAGCAUUACUGAUCCAGGGAUGACACUGAGCACAGAGACUUGACCGUCUGAGGUCGGGUCACUACAACUAGAGUCAAUAAUCUAGUUCACAUCGUUAUGUGAUUAACACCCAAAGAGUACUAAGGUAUGAUCAUGUUUUGCUCAUGAGAGAAGUUUAGUCAACGAGUCUGUCACAUUCAGAGCCGUAUGUAAUUUGCAAAUACUCUAUGUCUACAAUACUCUGCACAGAUCUACUCUAGCUAAUUGCUCCCACUUUCAAUAUGUAUCCAGAUUGUGACUUAGAGUCAGCUGGAUCAGUGUAAAAGUUUGCACCGAUGUAACUUUUACGACGAACUCUUUUAUCACCUCCAUAAUCGAGAAACAUCUCCUUAGUCCUCACUAAGGAUAUUCUUGACCGCUGCUCAGUGAUCUACUAUUAGAUCAAAAUUGUAUUCUUUUGCCAAAUUUAGAGCAAGGUAUACAAUAGGUCUGGUAUACAGCAUAGCACACUUCACAGAACCUAUGACUGAGGCAUAGGGAAUGACUUUCAUUCUUCUUUUCAAUUUUCUGCCGUGGUCGGGAUUUGAGUCUUACUCAAUUUCACACCUUUAAAACACAGACAAGAACUCUUUCUUUGACUGUUCCAUUCUGAACUAUUUCAAAAUCUUGACAAGGUAUGUACUUAUUGAAAAACUUAUCAAGCGUCUUGAUCUAUCUCAAUAGAUCUUGAUGCUCAAUAUGUAAGUAGCUUUACUGAGGUCUUUCUUUUAAAGAACUCCUUUCAAAUACUCCUUUAUGCUUUCUAGAAAAGUUCUAGAUCAUUUCUGAUCAACAAUAUGUUACUCACAUAUAUUUAUCAGAAAGGCAGUAGUGCUCCCACUCACUUUAUUGUAAAUACAGGCUUCACUGCAAGUCUCUAUAAAACUAUAUGCUUUGAUCAAAUUAUCAAAGCGUAUAUUCCAACUCUGAGAUGCUUGCACCAGUCCAUAGAUGGAUCGCUGGAGCUUGCACAUUUUGUUAGCAUCUAUAGGAUUGACAAAACCUUCUGGUUGCAUCAUAUGCAACUCUUCUUUAAUAAAUCCAUUAAGGAAUGCAGUUUUGACAUCCAUUUGCCAGAUUUCAUAAAAUGUGGCAAUUGCUAACAUGAUUCAGACAGACUUAAGCAUCGUUACGAGUGAGAAAAUCUCAUCGUAUUCAACACCCUGAACUUGUCGAAAACCUUUUGCAACAAGUCGAGCUUUGUAGAUAGUAACACUACUAUCAGUGUCCGUCUUCCUCUUGAAGAUCCAUUUAUUUAACUUGAUUUGCUGAUCAUCGAGCAAGUCAACCAAAGUCCACACUUUGUUCUCAUAUAUGGAUCCUAUCUCAGAUUUUAUGGCCUCAAGCCAUUUCGCGGAAUCUGGGCUCAUCAUCGCUUCCUCAUAGUUCGUAGGUUCAUCAUGGUCUAGUAACAUGACUUAUAGAACAGGAUUACCGUACCACUCUGAUGCAUAUCUUACUCUGGAAGACCUACGAGGUUCGGUAGCAACUUAAUCUGAAGUUUCAUGAUCAUCAUCAUUAACUUCCUCACUAAUUGGUGUAGGAAUCACUAAAACUGAUUUCUGUGAUAAACUACUUUCCAAUAAGGGAGAAGGUAAAAUUACCUCAUCAAGUUCUACUUUCCUCCCACUCACUUCUUUCGAGAGAAACUCCUUCUCUAGAAAGGAUCCAUUCUUAGCAACAAAGAUUUUGCCUUCGGAUCUGUGAUAGAAGGUGUACCCAAUAGUUUCCUUUGGGUAUUCUAUGAAGACGUACUUCUCCGAUUUGGGUUCGAGCUUAUCAGGUUGAAACUUUUUCACAUAAGCAUUGCAACCCAAAACUUUAAGAAACGACAACUUUGGUUUCUUGCCAAACCACAGUUCAUAAGGCGUCGUCUCAACGGAUUUUGAUGGUGCCCUAUUUAAACGUGAAUGCAGCUAUCUCUAAUGCAUAACCCCAAAAUGAUAUUGGUAAAUCGGUAAGAGACAUCAUUGAUCCAAUAAAGUGCGGUUACGACGUUCGGACACACCAUAACGCUAUAGUGUUCCAGAUGGUGUGAACUAUGAAACUGUUCCACAUUGUUUUUAUAUGAAGGCCAAACUCGUAACUCAAAUAUUCAUCUCCACGAUCAGAUCGUAGAAAUUUUAUUUUCUUGUUACGAUGAUUCUUCACUUCACUCUGAAUUUCUUUGAAUAUUUCAAAUGUUUCAGACUUGUGUUUAUUAAGUAGAUAUACCCAUAUCUGCUCAAAUCAUCUGUGAAGGUCAGAAAAUAACGAUACUCGCCACGAGCAUCAAUAUUCAUCGGAUCGCAUACAUCGAUAUGUAUUAUUUCCAAUAAAUCAGUAGCUCGUUCCAUUGUUCCGGAGAACGGAGUUUUAGUCAUCCUGCCUAGAAGGCACGGUUCGCAAGCAUCAAAUGAUUCAUAACCAAGUGAUUCCAAAAAUCCAUCUUUAUGGAGUUUCCUCAUGCGCUUUACACCGAUAUGACCCAAACGGCAGUGCCACAAAUAAGUUGCACUAUCAUUAUUAACUUUGCAUCUUUUGGCAUCAAUAUUAUGAAUAUGUGUAUCACUACGAUCGAGAUCCAACAAACUAUUUUCAUUUGGUGUAUGACCAUCGAAGGUUUUAUUCAUGUAAAUAGAACAAUAAUUAUUCUUUGACUUUAAAUGAAUAACCGUAUCGCAAUGAACAUGAUCAAAUCAUAUUCAUGUUCAACGCAAACGCCAAAUAACAUUUAUUUAGGUUUAACACUAAUCCCGAAAGUAUAGAGAGUGUGCGAUGAUGAUCAUAUCAAUCUUGGAACUACUUCCAACACUCAUCGCCACUUUACCCUCAACUAGUCUCUGGUUAUUCUGUAACUCCUGUUUCGAGUUACUAAUUUUUAGCAACCGAACAAGUAUCAAAUACUCAGGGGCUACUAUAAACACUAGUAAGGUACACAUCAAUAACCUGUAUAUCAAAUAUACCCUUGUUCACUUUGUCAUCCUUCUUAUCCACCAAAUAUUCAGGGAAUUUCGCUUCCAUUGACCAUUUCCUUUGCAGUGUAAGCACUCAGUUUCAGGCUUUGGUCCAGCUUUGGUAUUCUUCGCAGGAGUGACAACUUGCUUGCCAUUCUACUUGAAGUUCCCUUUUCUUUCCCUUUGCCCUUUUCUUGAAACUAGUGGUCUUGUCAAUCAUCAACACUUGAUGCUCUUUCUUGAUUUCUACCUUCAUCGAUUUCAGCAUCACGAAGAGCUCGGGAAUCGUUUUCGUCAUCCCUUGCAUUAUAGUUCAUCACGAAGUUCCAGUAACUUGGUGAUGGUGACUAGAGAACUCUGCCAAUCACUAUCUUAUUUGGAAGAUUAACUCCCACUUGAUUCAAGCGAUUGUAGUACUCAGACAAUCUAAGUACUUGCUCACUAGUUGAGCAAUUCUCCUCCAUCUUUUAGGCGAAGUAUUUGUCAAAGGUCUCAUACCUCUUGACACGGGCAUGAGUCUGAAAUACCAAUUUCAUCUCUUGAAACAUCUUAUAUGUUCCAUGACGUUUCAAAAACAUUUUUGUAGUCCCGGUUCUAAGCCAUAAAGCAUGGUGCACAAAACUAUCAAGUAGUCAUCAUAUUAAGCUAGCCAAACAUUCAUAACGUCUGCAUCUGCUCCUGCAAUAGGUCUGUCACCUAGCGGUGCAUCAAGGACAUAAUUCUUCUGUGCAGCAACGAGGAUAAUCCUCAGAUCACGGAUCGAAUCCGCAUCAUUGCUACUAACAUCUUUCAACAUAGUUUUCUCUAGGAACACAUAUAAAAGCAUAGGGAAGCAAAAACAUAGGGAAGCAACAACGCGAGCUAUUGAUCUACAACAUAAUUUGCAAAAUACUACCAGGACUAAGUUCAUGAUAAAUUAAAGUUUAAUUAAUCAUAUUACUUAAGAACUCCCACUUAGACAGACAUCUCUCUAGUCAUCUAAGUGAUCACGUGAUCCAAAUCAACUAAACCAUGUCCGAUCAUCACGUGAGAUGGAGUAGUUUUCAAUGGUGAACAUCACUAUGUUGAUCAUAUCUACUAUAUGAUUCACGUUCGACCUUUCGAUCUCCGUGUUCCGAGGCCAUAUCUGUAUAUGCUAGGCUCGUCAUGUUUAACCUGAGUAUUCCGCUUGUGCAACUGUUUUGCACCCGUUGUAUUUGAACGUAGAGCCUAUCACACCCGAUCAUCACGUGGUGUCUCAGCAUGAAGAACUUUUGCAACGGUGCAUACUCAAGCAGAACACUUCUUGAUAAUUUAGUGAGAGAUCAUCUUAAAAUGCUACCGUCAAUCAAAGCAAGAUAAGAUGCAUAAAGGAUAAACAUCACAUGCAAUCAAUAUAAGUGAUAUGAUAUGGCCAUCAUCAUCUUGUGCUUGUGAUCUCCAUCUCCGAAGCACCGUCGUGAUCACCAUCAUCACCGGCGCGACACCUUGAUCUCCAUCGUAGCAUCAUUGUCGUUACGCCAUCUAUUGCUUCUACGACUAUCGCUAUCGCUUAGUGAUAAAGUGAAGCAAUUACAGGGCGUUUGCAUUUCAUACAAUAAAGCGACAACCAUAUGGCUCCUGCCAGUUGCCGAUAACUUCGGUUACAAAACAUGAUCAUAUCAUACAAUAGAAUAUAGCAUCACGUCUUGACCAUAUCACAUCACAACAUGCCCUGCAAAAACAAGUUAGACGUCCUCUACUUUGUUGUUGCAAAUUUUACGUGGCUGCUACGGGCUGAGCAAGAACCGUUCUUACCUACGCAUCAAAACCAUAACGAUAGUUCGUCAAGUUAGUGUUGUUUUAACCUUCGCAAGGACCGGGCGUAGCCACACUCGGUUCAACUAAAGUUGGAGAAACAGACAUCCGCUAGUCACCUGUGUGCGAAGCACGACGGUAAAACCAGUCUCGCAUAAGCGUACGCGUAAUGUCGGUCCGAGCCGCUUCAUCCAACAAUACCGCUGAACCAAAGUAUGACAUGCUGGUAAGCAGUAUGACUUGUAUCGCCCACAACUCACUUGUGUUCUACUCGUGCAUAUAACAUCUACGCAUAAAACCUGGCUCUGAUACCACUGUUGGGGAAUGUAGUAAUUUCAAACAAAAUUCCUGCGCACACGCAAGAUCAUGAUGAUGCAUAGCAACGAGAGGAGAGAGUGUUAUCUACAUACCCUUGUAGACCAUAAGCGGAAGCGUUAGAACAACGCGGUUGAUGUAGUCAUACGCCUUCACGGCCCGACCGAUCAAGCACGGAAACUACGACACCUCCGAGUUCUAGCACACAUUCAGCUCGAUGACGUCCCUCGAACUCCGAUCCAACCGAGUGUCGAGGGAGAGUUCCGCCACCACGACGGCGUGGUGACGAUCUUGAUGUUCUAUCAUUGUAGGGCUUCGCCUAAGCAUUGCUACAAUAUUAUCGAGGAGGACUAUGGUGGAGGGGGGCACCACACACGGCUAAGGAACGAUCACGAAGAUCAACUUGUGUGUUACAGGUGCCCCCUUGCCCCCGUAUAUAAAGGAGCCAAGGGGAAGGGGGCGGCCGGCCAAGGAGGGCGCGCCAAGGAGGAGUCCUACUCCCACCGGGAGUAGGAUUCCCCCCUUCCAAGUAAUAGGAGUAGGAGUCAAGGAAAGGGGGAAGAGAAGAGAAGGAAGGAGGGGGCGCAGCCCCCCCCCCCCUAGUCCAAUUCGGACUAGGCCUUGGGGGGCACCUAGCCUUUCCUCUCUCUUUCCCCUAAAGCCCAAUAAGGCCCAUAUACUCCCCGGCGAAUUCCCGUAACUCUCCAGUACUCCGAAAAUACCCGAAUCACUUGGAACCUUUCCGACCUUCGAAUAUAGUCGUCCAAUAUAUCGAUCUUUACGUCUCGACCAUUUCGAGACUCCUCGUCAUGUCCCCGAUCUCAUCAUGGACUUCGAACUCCUUCGAUAAAUCAAAACUCAUAAAUUCAUAAUAUAACUAUCAUCGAAACCUUAAGCGUCCGGACCCUACGAGUUCGAGAACUAUGUAGACAUGACCGAGACAUGUCUCUGGUCAAUAACCAAUAGCGGAACCUAGAUGCUCAUAUUGGCUCCCACAUAUUCUACGAAGAUAUUUAUCGGUCAGACCGCAUAACAACAUACGUUGUUCCCUUUGUCAUCGGUAUGUUACUUGCCCGAGAUUCGAUCGUCGGUAUCCAAUACCUAGUUCAAUCUUGUUACCGGCAAGUCUCCUUACUCAUUACGUAAUGCAUCAUUCCGUAACUAACUCAUUAGCUACAUUGCUUGCAAGGCUUAUAGUGAUGUGCAUUACCGAGAGGGCCCAGAGAUACCUCUCUGACAAUCGGAGUGACAAAUCCUAAUCUCGAAAUACGCCAACCCAACAUGUACCUUCGGAGACACCUGUAGAGCUCCUUUAUAAUCACCCAGGUUGUGAAGUUUGGUAGAACACAAAGUGUUCCUCCGGUAAACGGGAGUUGCAUAAUCUCAUAGUCAUAGGAACAUGUAUAAGUCAUGAAGAAAACAACAACAACAUACCAAACGAUCGUGUGCUAAGCUAACGGAAUGGUUCAAGUCAAUGUCACAUCCCUAGUUCUGACAAUGCCUAGUGCAUGCAUUAGAGUGUUGCACCAUGUUUAAAUUUCAUUUAAAUUUGAAAUGGGGAUUGUUGAAACCCUAGCACCAAAUGAAAUUUAACUAGGUUCAAUAAAAAUAUUUUCAAUAACCCAGAAUGCCCUUUGGAAAUGUUCAUAAUUUCUGUUAAAGGUGAAAACCUCUUCCAAAAAUGAUGAACAUAAUUAUAGGCUAUUCCUGGAUUUUUGAAUUAAAUUAUAUAGUAUUUGCAUUUGGGCAUUUAAUUGCUAAUAAUAUUUUAAAUGCUCAAAUAAUCACAAACUGAAAUGUUUACUGUUGGAAAUAUUCCAAACAGUGGCCACAGUCAGUUGCAUGAUUUUUGGAAAUGCUCUGGCAUUUUUAAUAAAUCCAAACACAAUUACAGAAAAUAGAAAAUAGUAACUAAAAUAGAAAUAAAAGAGAGGAGAGAAACCUUACCUGGCCUCACCCGUGCAGCCCACCAGCCGGCCCAGCUUCCCCCCCUGGCCGGCCCAGCCCACCCGCGCCUUCCCUGUCGUCUUCCUCCUCGGACAGAAGGACGAGGGCGUGUGCCCGACGCUCGCCGGCACGUGCGCGCGCCACCUCCCCCCCCCUGCUGGCCACCUCCUGCUUCCCCGGACUCCCUCGAUGCCCCGGACGAAGCCACGCAGCUGCCCCGCACCGCUCUCACUCUCCCUCGCCCUCCUCUUCUCCCCUUGCUCUCUCUUCCUCUCACCCGAGAACCACCGCCGCCGCCGACGGGCAUCACCGUAGCCACUGGCCUCCCCUCGCCUCCCCGACCCGCUUUCGAGCUCCGCCACAACCCCCUACACCUCCUCGUUGAGCUACGGACCUCCCGGACCUGCUGCAACGCCGCCACCAUCGCCGUUUCCAUCGCCGGCCGCCGAGGAUCUUCAUCGUCAAUUCACCACCAUCGUCGCGUCCCCGAGCCGGCUAACCACCCCUACGGCACCGCUGUGAGCUCCCACGUCUCCCCUCCCUCUUUCCCCCUUCGAUUUCGCCCUGUAGCUUCGAUUCCACCGGAGCCGCGAGCUCGGCUCCGCCGGCGAUGUCGCCGCCGUCGUUGCAGGUCACCAAACUCGCGUCCGAGCACGACCUCGAGCUCGUGGAUCUCCCAGGAGCCCGCCCAGCCUCUCAGCUCGCUCGCUCGCUAAGCGUAGCCCCGUGCCCGCGCUGGCCCGAACUCCGGUCGCCGCCGCGGACCCCGUUCCGGUGAGCUCGAGCCACCUCAGCCCCUGCCGUUUGCACAAAUGGAUGCGGACGACUCCCAGCUACGCGUAGCUGCCCUCCGCCGGCCAUUUGGUCGCCGGAGGAGGAAUUCCGACCCCCUCCGCCGUCUCGGGCUUCACCGGCGACGAGCCGCCGGCGUGUUAGCCUCGGCUGACCAGGGGUUUGACCUCCCCUAGGUCCAUGACAGGUGGGCCCGGCCCCUGCUAACUUUGGUUAAGUUAAUAACUACUUUUAGUUAAGCCACUGACCCACUGACAGUAGGCCCCACCCCUGGUCAAACCCCAGUCAGCGCUGGGUUUGACCGGGAUUAACUCCUGUGACACUGACAUAUGGGGCCCACAGGUCAGAUUUGACCUGGACAACGCCGUUGACUUGCUGACGUCACUGUGAAGUCAUGCUGACGCAGUAAUUCUUUUCUGGAUUUAAAAAUAAUCAGGAAAUUCCAGAAAAUGCCUAAAACUUCAAUAAAUCAUAGAAAUUCAACCGUAACUCCAAAUUAAAUAAAUCAUAUAUGAAAAAUUAUCAGAAAAAUUCAAGGAAUCCAUCUGUACCAUUUUCAUGCAUGUUAGAACAACUUAUCACUACUGUUUAGGGCAAAUGAAGUAAAGGGCAUUUAAAUAAUCACAUAUGGAGUUUAAAUUUGAAUCUUAUAUUCAAACCAACUUCAUUUAAUCUGUUGCUAGUUGCAUUAGCUCAAAACACAUUCAUAUUGCCAUGUCAUGAGCAUGCAUCAUAUUGUGCAUUGCAUUGAUUGUGUUCCUUUCUGUGUUGCCGGUAUUUGUCCCCUCUCGAUAGACGUGAUACCGAUGAUGUGAUCGUUGACACUGAUGAAGACUCAAUGCUAUCUUCAGAAGUGCCAGGCAAGCAAAACCCCCUUGUUCAUUCCGAUACAAUCCUACUCUCUCGCUCCUGCUCUCUUUUACUGCAUUAGGACAACACCGAUUCAUCUGUUACUUGCUGCGGUAGCUGAACCCCUUUAUCCUCUGCAUGACCUGUCAUUCCACAGUAAAUAGAUGAAACCCACUAGCAUGAGUAGGAGUUGUUUGAGCCCUGUUGUGCCUACUCAUUCAUGCUUGUUUGUCAUGCCUGCUACUGCUUAGAGUUGAGUCGGGUCUGAUUCAUCGGGGAUGAAUCAGAGGUGUGUGAACAUGUCCUACGGUGUGUGAGCUAAGCGUGUGAACACGAUUUGGUAAAGGUAGCGGUGAGAGGCCAUGUAGGAGUACAUGGUGGGUUGUCUCAUUGCAGCCGUCCUCAGGAACUGAGUUCUGUGUUUGUGAUCCAUGAUUCAGCUACUACCACGCAUUGGGCCCGAAACCAAUGGACCCUCUCGGCUUCUUAAUCACCCUUGUCCUCUGUCCAGGAGUUGCAAGUAGUUUCUGGUGUUUGUAGUAUGCUGGAGGCCGUGGACAGCGCUGACCGUAGGGGUGGGCUGUGAUGCGGUAGGCACAUGGCCGGGUAAACCGGGCGCCCGUUUGGUGUCACGGAACCCUGUUCACAUCGUUUGGGGCUGUGAGCGAAACUCCGGCCGGAUCUCCUCAUGGAUGGAACCCGAAUAGGCGAUAAACCUGGACUAGAGACUUGAGUGUUUAGGCAGGCCGUGGCCGACACCCACGUUGGGCUUCCGCUUGAAGGUUGCCGAGUACAUGUCGUGUAAACGGCGGUAAGUGGUGAGAGCGUGUGUGAAGAAGUACACCCCUGCAGGGUUAAUAUGAUCUAUUCGAAUAGCCGUGUCCGCGGAAAAGGACUUCUGGGUUGCUUAUAUCAGUUCAUAGACAAGUGAAAGUGGAUACUCUAAAAUACGCAAGAUAAGCGUGAGUGCUAUGGAUGGCGUUCUCGUAGGGAGACGGGAGCGGAUCCAUAGUGGGGUAUUGGUUGGUGAAUAUGUGGACUCGUGUGCGCCACCUCAAAGAGUUACAUUGCAGUCGUAGUUUAGGAUAGCCACCGAGUCAGAGCUGGCUUGCUGCAGUUAAACCCCACCACCCCUUUGUUGAUAAUGAUGCAUAUGUAGAUAGAUCUGAUGUAAGUCUUGCUGGGUACAUUUGUACUCACGUUUGCCUAUUUUAUGUUUUGCAGAGAGACUUCAGUCUCACUAGUAUUUCCGCGUGGUCUUCGACGUUUAGCUUGUUACCUCAGCUACGAUCUUGUGCCUCGGCAGGAUUUGGUAGAUAGUCAGGCUUCUCAGCCUUUUUCAUUUAUAGAUGUCUGUACUCAGACAUGAUAGCUUCCGCUUGUGCUUGAUUUGUAUGCUCUGAAAGUUGGGUGAUGAGACCCAUGUUUGUAAUAUCUCGCUCCUCGGAGCCUAUUGAAUAGAUUACUUGAGUCCUAGAGUCAUGUUGUGAUGCCAUGUUGUAUUUGCACAUAUCGAGCAUAUUGUGUGUAUGUUAUUGAAAUGCUUGGUAUGUGUGGGAUCUGACCAUCUAGUUGUUUAUCUUUAGUAGCCUCUCUUACGGGGAAAUGUCUCCUAGUGUUUCCACCGAGCCAUGGUAGCUUGCUACUGCUCCGGAACACUUAGGCUGGCCGGCAUGUGUCCUUCUUCGUUCCUGUGUCUGUCCCUUCGGGGAAAUGUCACGCGGUGAAUACCGGAGUCCUGUUAGCCCGCUACAGCCCGGUUCACCGGAGUCCUGCUAGCCCAGUGCUACAGCCUGGAUUCACUCGCUGAUGACCGACACGUUCGAUGCUGGGUCAUGGAUGCCUGUCCCUGUAAGUCUGUGCCGCUUUGGGUUUACGACUAGCCAUGUCAGCCCGGACUCCUUAUCAUAUGGAUGCUAGCGACACUGUCAUAUACGUGUGCCAAAAGGCGCAAACGGUCCCGGGCAAAGGUAAGGCGACACCCGUGGGAAUACCGUGCGUGAGGCCGCAAAGUGAUAUGAGGUGUUACAUGCUAGAUCGAUGUGGCAUUGAGUCGGGGUCCUGACAGCGUUGGUAUCAGAGCUUGACUGCCUGUAGGAUUACCAAGCCAAACUGGUCGAAGUUGAGUCUAGAAAAUUCUUUAGUUAUAUAAGGGAAUUGAUUGUGGGAUGGAACGUAAGGCUCUUUUACUCCUUAUACCUCAUGCCCUUCUGAUCUGAGUUAUCUUAUCUUUCCUGCGGGGAUUAAGAACUAGGCUAUCUCUUCUUUCUAUUAGGAUCACGUGUUACUAAUCAGUAGACUUAUAAGAUUGUUGGAUUUAAGUCUCAGUUCAGUUCCUACUACUUCCGUAUGUUAAUUGUUGAUCUCGGAACCUUGAUAUUGUGCUUCUGAGUGGUUAUGCCACCAAUUUUGUGAAUGUCUCAAACCUUUUCUGAGCAUUUACAGCCGUUAUGCUGUCCGAGUCAUUCCAGGUUUCUAAAUAGUCUGAUGCAUUUGCAAAAUCCUCUCCCUCUGGUUUCGAUGUUCCUUUAUGCCAGCUCAAUCACACUAAUUGUUGAGUUGAGGUAUUCUAUUGCCUUGACAUUAUGUUGGAAUAAUUAUUAUGACCCUAGGUGUCUCAGGGGAUCAUCUAGUAAUUUAGCCAUGAUUUGUGUUCCCAGUGUGAUGAUUCUGGCCAUCAUUCUCGAAAGCAUUCCGUGAUGCUACUUAGUAGUAGGUAUUCUAUUCCUGGGUUCUUGAACCCGAGAUUCACUCUACUUACUUCAUGUUGAUAGUAAUUGCUAGCGCCUUUAGGAUAUUAGUAACCUUUGCGAUAGUCCUUGAAGUCCGUGGUAUCUUCUUCUUCCAGAUACCAUGAACUACUUAUGGCAGAAGUUCCUCGUUGAACUGAAAUAUCACAACAGUAUUAUUUUUGAUGAGUUCUCCAUUAUAUAUUGUGGCUCUGCCAGUUCUACCUUUCCGCAUGGGUUAUCCAGAAGAAAUAUGUUGAACUUGGUUCGACAUACUAAUCUAUGCAUCCACAACUUAGAAAAUUAUAUGUUCCUUUGAGUUGUUCUCUUUAGUUGCAUUCUGACCUUCGUCUAUCAAUUGAUAGUCAAGGGUACGCAUGCAUUCGUUUACCGAUGCCUAGUACCCUUGUGGUCCGUCAAGCCAUUCUGUCCCGAAUGACUAGGAGAAACAAACUCCAGUACCUCAUCCAUAUCUAGGAUUGGGUCAAAGUAGUUGUGUUCCGCAGAUCAAGUUACAAUCCAGCUUCUGGUCUGCUCUACCCUGAAGUAUUACCUUCUUUAUGACAGGAAUUUCAUGAGAAUUGCACCACCUUUUGUGAAUUCUUGACAUAGUGAUACUUCACGCCAUCCUUUUUUUUUCAUUCCUCGGUUCCGUGUUGUUGCAGCCGGAGUGCCGACAAGUGAAUCAUGAUGUGUGAAAUCAAUACUCCUAGCAACUCCGUUGCUUGGUAGUUAAAUGGACAAUAACGUCAUCCUUAGCGAGUUGACUAUUGAAUCAUCACCCUAAGGUUGAUUGUGCUACCUAGUCCAUUUUCCUGGUGCACUCCUUGAUUGAUGAGAUAGGAUUUGUUAAGUCCUCGCUCAUUUGAUCAUAUCAUCUUGCCCUGAAAAGCAAGAUUGUUCUCGAGCUUAGUAACAUAUCGGUGGUUCGUGAUUUCCGAAGAUCUUCUCGGAAGUAUUACCAGGUUGUCACCUGACCGCUAUGUUGAGCUCGUGAUCAAGUUGGUUUCUUGUGAACCACCUUCUCUCCAAGAAUCGGUGUUAGAUAUCCCUGAGCUAGUUGGUUAAGCUAGACAACAACUUGGAGAGUUGGAAGAUAAAAGCUUGCCUGACUUAGUUUGUCCCAAAAGGAUAUUCUUGUGUAGUGUGUAUUGAAGAAAGAUGAUAUCUUCAUCGAUUGGUCCCUGUGAUCAGUUGCUGGACCUAUUGUCUUAUCAAUCCUUUGAUUUGAGUGUGGGCUAUCGUCAAAUCAAGUCAGAACCAACGAUGUUCGUAAUGUUGUCUUCCUCGUGGUUGAUCCCUCGAGCAUACACCAUUAUAUCUUUUGGUUCUGACCAAUGCUAUCACCGUGUUCACAUGAUGGUGGAAAUCCAGUGAUAUGGAAAUUCCGAUGAGUUGCUGUUGAGCCCAUCAGUAGCAUUUUGUCUCCCCCCAUGAAUCAUGUUGAACAUCAACCUAGUGUUGGAAAUUUGUGUAAGCAUUUCUUCGUGUUUCGUUCAUGAAGUAUAUGUUUGGAUGAAAGUAGUGACUUUCCCUAAUUCAUGUGCAUAUGAUGCAAGUUGCCGCCAUGAAUUUGAGGAAGAUUGUUUUGUUUCCUUGGAAUCAUCCCAAAUCAGUCAUGCACACGUGCGAAGUAUUCUGUGGUCUGGAGACUUGCAACCUUCAUUCCAUAUGUGUCCCGAGCACACCAAGCCACUGAUUGAAUUGUUCAAGGAGAAGAAGUUCCUUCAUAAGAGCUAAUCAUAUGACUUAUGCAAGGACUUCGUUAUCCACGGUGAUGGUUCCCAACCAGAACUCGGUAGUGUUUUAUUAUAAGACUACCACGUGGUCAUGCUUGUCUGGGACAACGUGUUCACAUGUUUGUAGCAGAACCAGCUCAUGUUUUGGAGCUUGCUAUCGUAGUUCAUCUCCCGAGAAUCUCGCAACGUCAUCUCGUCGAUUUGUGUUGCAAACCUUCAUUUUCCUUCCUAGACUCGAUGAGUCUGGAAUAUCCUGACACCAACCAGAUCUGAAUCUGAGGCAGAUAUGAUGGUUGGAACAUUUCCCAAGAACUAUAAUAUUGGUCCCUCGACAACCGGUAAAGUGGAUGUCGUGGCCAACACACCCAGCCGGAAGACCUAUCAUUGUAGUAUCUUGUUAAGGAAGUUGGCCACCUCCCCAUAAGGAUUUCGUAGGGUUUACCUCCGUAACUGUUUCCUAUGGAUUCUAUUGCUCCCGAAGUCCGACCUUUACUUGAUGUUCUAGAUAUCAAACCAUAUCUAUGAAUGGGUUACCCUAGCACAUCAAGGAGAACAUUAGAAGCGGAGUGCUAAAUGUCUCUCGGUCGAUCAUCCAGAUUUUAUCUCCUUGGCCCCGCCAGGGGUGAAAUUUGAGAAGGUGUUAUCUUCCUUUGCAUCUGCAUCAUCCAUCAUCAUUCAUCAUGGUAGCAAGUUGUGUUGCCAGGAUCCUUGACACGGAUGUUGGUAAAACCUUGAUGAAUAUGGAAAUGCUCAAGUUCUUGAGAGCACGCUCAAGCGCUAGGUGUUAUCUUCGGCAUUAACUGGGGAUCCUCUCCGUUUCCUCGACAUGCUAUGAUCUCUUCAAACAGUGAAUUCACUCCCUAUUGUUGGGUUCUUCCCCAGUUACCAGAAUCAUUCCCAGCAUUUGCAUUUUGUUCCCAGCUUGCACCGCCAAUGUGCCAUUCUACCAUGGGUCUCUUCCAUUUCCGGUGAUAAGAAAACUCAUCCAUUACGUUGUCUUCAACAAGGUAAUCCACAUCAUCCAAGUCCGAGUAUGCCAUUCUACCGACCCCCUCCAAACGAUCGCUCGAGAAUUGUCUUAGGCUGGUUCAAAGAGUUUCAAUGAUCUAUGAAUCAAAAGUAAUUCUUUUUGCCACUUAAGGAAAUAUCUCUACGAGUCACCUUCCCUAAGGUGUAUCGUUAUGGUAUUAUGGCAACUCAACUCCUCGCUACGUGGACAAUCGUUUACCACCUUCUUAGGUGUGGAAUCGUUGUCUACCUAGUGAACCUUCGUCAUCCGUUUCUUUCCACCCCUCUUGAUGUGUAUCUCGUGUCUAAACCCGAGAGAUGGUUCUAUGUCUCAUUCCGGAAGUUAAUCCUGAGUUGUUCGAUCUUCGAGAAGACCGAUCCUUCCAGAGUUUUCCUUUCCUCUCCUUGUCAUGAUUAGCUGGAGUUCUCAGAGCAAGACGACAAGACAAAAUGGUGUUCAAACCAACGUUCAUUUGAAGUGCACCCUGGAUCGUGAAGAUUAUACUAGUUUGCGUUUCCCCUUCACCUUACCCUACGCUUGAAUCUCGAGACGAGAUUCUUGUUUAGUGGGGGUGAGUUGUCACAUCACUAGUUCUGACAAUGCCUAGUGCAUGCAUUAGAGUGUUGCACCAUGUUUAAAUUUCAUUUAAAUUUGAAAUGGGGAUUGUUGAAACCCUAGCACCAAAUGAAAUUUAACUAGGUUCAAUAAAAAUAUUUUCAAUAACCCAGAAUGCCCUUUGGAAAUGUUCAUAAUUUCUGUUAAAGGUGAAAACCUCUUCCAAAAAUGAUGAACAUAAUUAUAGGCUAUUCCUGGAUUUUUGAAUUAAAUUAUAUAGUAUUUGCAUUUGGGCAUUUAAUUGCUAAUAAUAUUUUAAAUGCUCAAAUAAUCACAAACUAAAAUGUUUACUGUUGGAAAUAUUCCAAACAGUGGCCACAGUCAGUUGCAUGAUUUUUGGAAAUGCUCUGGCAUUUUUAAUAAAUCCAAACACAAUUACAGAAAAUAGAAAACAGUAACUAAAAUAGAAAUAAAAGAGAGGAGAGAAACCUUACCUGGCCUCACCCGUGCAGCCCACCAGCCGGCCCAGCUUCCCCCCCUGGCUGGCCCAGCCCACCCGCGCCUUCCCUGUCGUCUUCCUCCUCGGACAGAAGGACGAGGGCGUGUGCCCGACGCUCGCCGGCACGCGCGCGCGCCACCUCCCCCCCUGCUGGCCACCUCCUGCUUCCCCGGACUCCCUCGAUGCCCCGGACGAAGCCACGCAGCUGCCCCGCACCGCUCUCACUCUCCCUCGCCCUCCUCUUCUCCCCUUGCUCUCUCUUCCUCUCACCCGAGAACCACCGCCGCCGCCGACGGGCAUCACCGUAGCCACUGGCCUCCCCUCGCCUCCCCGACCCGCUUCCGAGCUCCGCCACAACCCCCUACACCUCCUCGUUGAGCUACGGACCUCCCGGACCUGCUGCAAUGCCGCCACCAUCGCCGUUUCCAUCGCCGGCCGCCGAGGAUCUUCAUCGUCAAUUCACCACCAUCGUCGCGUCCCCGAGCCGGCUAACCACCCCUACGGCACCGCUGUGAGCUCCCACGUCUCCCCUCCCUCUUUCCCCCUUCGAUUUCGCCCUGUAGCUUCGAUUCCACCGGAGCCGCGAGCUCGGCUCCGCCGGCGAUGUCGCCGCCGUCGUUGCAGGUCACCAAACUCGCGUCCGAGCACGACCUCGAGCUCGUGGAUCUCCCAGGAGCCCGCCCAGCCUCUCAGCUCGCUCGCUCGCUAAGCGUAGCCCCGUGCCCGCGCUGGCCCGAACUCCGGUCGCCGCCGCGGACCCCGUUCCGGUGAGCUCGAGCCACCUCAGCCCCUGCCGUUUGCACAAAUGGAUGCGGACGACUCCCAGCUACGCGUAGCUGCCCUCCGCCGGCCAUUUGGUCGCCGGAGGAGGAAUUCCGACCCCCUCCGCCGUCUCGGGCUUCACCGGCGACGAGCCGCCGGCGUGUUAGCCUCGGCUGACCAGGGGUUUGACCUCCCCUAGGUCCAUGACAGGUGGGCCCGGCCCCUGCUAACUUUGGUUAAGUUAAUAACUACUUUUAGUUAAGCCACUGACCCACUGACAGUAGGCCCCACCCCUGGUCAAACCCCAGUCAGCGCUGGGUUUGACCGGGAUUAACUCCUGUGACACUGACAUAUGGGGCCCACAGGUCAGAUUUGACCUGGACAACGCCGUUGACUUGCUGACGUCACUGUGAAGUCAUGCUGACGCAGUAAUUCUUUUCUGGAUUUAAAAAUAAUCAGGAAAUUCCAGAAAAUGCCUAAAACUUCAAUAAAUCAUAGAAAUUCAACCGUAACUCCAAAUUAAAUAAAUCAUAUAUGAAAAAUUAUCAGAAAAAUUCAAGGAAUCCAUCUGUAUCAUUUUCAUGCAUGUUAGAACAACUUAUCACUACUGUUUAGGGCAAAUGAAGUAAAGGGCAUUUAAAUAAUCACAUAUGGAGUUUAAAUUUGAAUCUUAUAUUCAAACCAACUUCAUUUAAUCUGUUGCUAGUUGCAUUAGCGCAAAACACAUUCAUAUUGCCAUGUCAUGAGCAUGCAUCAUAUUGUGCAUUGCAUUGAUUGUGUUCCUUUCUGUGUUGCCGGUAUUUGUCCCCUCUCGAUAGACGUGAUACCGAUGAUGUGAUCGUUGACACUGAUGAAGACUCAAUGCUAUCUUCAGAAGUGCCAGGCAAGCAAAACCCCCUUGUUCAUUCCGAUACAAUCCUACUCUCUCGCUCCUGCUCUCUUUUACUGCAUUAGGACAACACCGAUUCAUCUGUUACUUGCUGCGGUAGCUGAACCCCUUUAUCCUCUGCAUGACCUGUCAUUCCACAGUAAAUAGAUGAAACCCACUAGCAUGAGUAGGAGUUGUUUGAGCCCUGUUGUGCCUACUCAUUCAUGCUUGUUUGUCAUGCCUGCUACUGCUUAGAGUUGAGUCGGGUCUGAUUCAUCGGGGAUGAAUCAGAGGUGUGUGAACAUGUCCUACGGUGUGUGAGCUAAGCGUGUGAACACGAUUUGGUAAAGGUAGCGGUGAGAGGCCAUGUAGGAGUACAUGGUGGGUUGUCUCAUUGCAGCCGUCCUCAGGAACUGAGUUCUGUGUUUGUGAUCCAUGAUUCAGCUACUACCACGCAUUGGGCCCGAAACCAAUGGACCCUCUCGGCUUCUUAAUCACCCUUGUCCUCUGUCCAGGAGUUGCAAGUAGUUUCUGGUGUUUGUAGUAUGCUGGAGGCCGUGGACAGCGCUGACCGUAGGGGUGGGCUGUGAUGCGGUAGGCACGUGGCCGGGUAAACCGGGCGCCCGUUUGGUGUCACGGAACCCUGUUCACAUCGUUUGGGGCUGUGAGCGAAACUCCGGCCGGAUCUCCUCAUGGAUGGAACCCGAAUAGGCGAUAAACCUGGACUAGAGACUUGAGUGUUUAGGCAGGCCGUGGACGACACCCACGUUGGGCUUCCGCUUGAAGGUUGCCGAGUACAUGUCGUGUAAACGGCGGUAAGUGGUGAGAGCGUGUGUGAAGAAGUACACCCCUGCAGGGUUAAUAUGAUCUAUUCGAAUAGCCGUGUCCGCGGAAAAGGACUUCUGGGUUGCUUAUAUCAGUUCAUAGACAAGUGAAAGUGGAUGCUCUAAAAUACGCAAGAUAAGCGUGAGUGCUAUGGAUGGUGUUCUCGUCGGGAGACGGGAGCGGAUCCAUAGUGGUGUAUUGAUAUGGGGAAUGUGUGGACUCGUGUGCGCCACCUCAAAAGAGUUACUCGCAGUCGUAGUUCAGGAUAGCCACCGAGUCAAAGCUGGCCUGCUGCAGUUAAACCCCACCAUCCCCUUUGUUGAUAAUGAUGCAUAUGUAGAUAGUUCUGAUGUAAGUCUUGCUGGGUACAUUUGUACUCACGUUUGCCUACUUUAUGUUUUUGCAGAGAGACUUCAGUCUCACUAGUAGUUCCACGUGGACUUCGACGUUUAGCUUGUUACCUCAGCUACGAUCUUGUGCCCUCGGCAGGAUCUGGUAGAUAGUCAGGCUUCUCAGCCUUUUUCAUUUAUAGAUGUCUGUACUCAUACAUGAUAGCUUCCGCUUGUGCUUUGAUUGGUAUGCUCUGAAUGUUGGGUCAUGAGACCCAUGUUUGUAAUAUCGCGCUCCUCGGAGCCUAUUGAAUAAAUUACUUGAGUCGUAGAGUCAUGUUGUGAUGCCAUGUUGUAUUUGCACAUAUCGAGCAUAUUGUGUGUAUGUUAUUGAAAUGCUUGGUAUGUGUGGGAUCUGACCAUCUAGUUGUUUAUCUUUAGUAGCCUCUCUUACGGGGAAAUGUCUCCUAGUGUUUCCACCGAGCCAUGGUAGCUUGCUACUGCUCCGGAACACUUAGGCUGGCCGGCAUGUGUCCUUCUUCGUUCCUGUGUCUGUCCCUUCAGGGAAAUGUCACGCGGUGAAUACCGGAGUCCUGUUAGCCCGCUACAGCCCGGUUCACCGGAGUCCUGCUAGCCCAGUGCUACAGCCUGGAUUCACUCGCUGAUGACCGACACGUUCGAUGUUGGGUCAUGGAUGCCUGUCCCUGUAAGUCUGUGCCGCUUUGGGUUUACGACUAGCCAUGUCAGCCCGGACUCCUUAUCAUAUGGAUGCUAGCGACACUGUCAUAUACGUGUGCCAAAAGGCGCAAACGGUCCCGGGCAAAGGUAAGGCGACACCCGUGGGAAUACCGUGCGUGAGGCCGCAAAGUGAUAUGAGGUGUUACAUGCUAGAUCGAUGUGGCAUUGAGUCGGGGUCCUGACAGUCAAUCACAUCAUUCUCCUAAUGAUGUGAUCCCAUUAAUCAAAUGACAACUCAUGUCUAUGGUUAGGAAACUUAACCAUCUUUGAUUCACGAGCUAGUCAAGUAGAGGCAUACUAGUGACACUAUGUUUGUCUAUGUAUUCACACAUGUAUUAUGUUUCCGGUUAAUACAAUUCUAGCAUGAAUAAUAAACAUUUAUCAUGAUAUAAGGAAAUAAAUAAUAACUUUAUUAUUGCCUCUAGGGCAUAUUUCCUUCAUUAGAAUUAUUUGGGACAUAGUUGGAAAAGAAAAGAUGCCUCUGUCACUUCGAAGUCUUCGGAAUCACUGGAAUGCGUGCUCUGCUUUUUCUCCACUUCUUUGUCGGCUGUUCCAUUUGAUUCUCUCAGCGUGUCCCCUAGAGUGUCUGCCCCUUCGGUGCCAAAUGUUUGUGCUAAUUCCUCAUCCAGAGCUGACUGCAUUUGUUCAAGGUUAAUUCCUGAGAGCAAGGUUACAAAGAAAAAUCAGUAUGCAGGGUUUAAUAUAAUUAGAAUUUGAACUAUUUGGGACAUAUAGUUGGAAAAGAAAAUAUGCCUCUGUCACCUCAGAAUCUGUGGACCGUGUGCUCUUCUUUUUCUCCACUUCAUCUUUGUCGGCUAUUCCAUUUAAUUCUGCAAGCUUGUCCCCUACAGUUUCUGCCCCUUCGGUGUCAAAUGUUUGUGCUAAUUCAUUGUCUUGAGUUGGCUGCAUUUCUUCACUUGUUUCCUUGACGGUUAAUCCCUGAGAGCAACAUUACAAGGAAUAAUCCCUAUGUAGUAUUAUAAUAUAACGAGAAUUAGAACUAUUUGGGCUAGUUGAAAUAGAAGCAUGCCUUUGCCACUUCGCAAUCUGUAGCUGGUUUGCUCUUAUUUUUCUCUACUUCAUCUCUGUCGUCUAUUCCAUUUGAUUCUUCCUCGCUGCAUACCUGAAACACACAUAAUAUAAUAUUACCUGGUACUUAUUGGUUCUUCAUCGCUUAGUAACUAAAACACACGAUAAUAUAAUAUUCUCCAGUACUUAUAAAAGAGCAAAUAUUAUGAAGACGAAUAAAGAAUCGUAGGUAUGAUAUUAUUAUACUAUAGAUUACAUAUUGUUUUAUCCCUCCUGCAUAAGAAUAAUAAUAAUGGCAUGUGAAAUUAAAAACCGCCUUUGUCAGCUUGGGGUUUGUAUGCUUGUGUUAGGGUAUCACCUCAUCAAUCUGCAUAUUUUCUGUAUCUUCCAUGAUGCCUUGUUCUUCCAUUGCCUUUGUUGACUUGGUGUUCAUAUCCUCAUCUUUGGUUAUCAUGCAUUCAAUCUGCAUAUUUUGUGUAUGCUCGUCCUUCGCUCCUUUGUUGAUGUUUUCCUAAAAAUCAAAGCAUAUAUUAUUAUCACGCGGUACACAUUCAGCCCCUAUGUUUUGUUAGCUUGAAAAUCGGUCUUAUAUGUUGGGACGUAGGGAGUACAUCACAACUGUAUGCACAUAUUUGCUUAUGUUUACUUAACAUAGUGGUAUCAGGAUAUCCUUUCCAACUAAAUUUCACUAUCUAUUUCUUUUUUUAAUUGUUCAGUCAAGUUUUCGAGACUAACUUGCGUGACUAUUCUCUCUAGUAAUCAGGUGGAAAGGACGGCAGCAAUAUGCUUAUUUUGCUCGCAGGCUUGUCAUUGUCGCUUUAAUAUUUCCUCUCUAUUUUUUGCAUACCGCUCCCUUUCCAUCCAAUUCUUAAUCUCAUCACGGCCUGACUAGAUGAAGCAUAGAUCAUUAUAUAGCAAUAUAACUGGGCCAUGUAGGAUGAAGUUCAUGUUCAUUACCUUGUGAUACAGCCAGCUGUGUUUGUGCCCCACUACUCUUGGCAGAGGCAAUUUUCUUCUGUUUAUAGGCCUCACGUCGUCUCUUAUUAAUCUCAUCCUUGUUUUGUGCAUACCGCUCUCUAUCCCUCUGCCUUUUUACUUCUUUAGGGUCUGCAAUCAAUGGCACAAUUCAGCAGUUGAGCUACAAAAACUGAAAUUGAGUGCUUGUGUAAUGCUCAUCACCCAAGGACUGGGUGUUGCUUAUAUCCUGGAAUGGGGUGCGCGUCCCAUUGGGAUUGGUCGGGGCCAUACGAAGUCCUUCAACCCUAUGAAUGUCAAGAAUGUAUCACACAAUUGUAACAGAAGGAAUAGUAUUAGCACAACGCAGACAGAGUACAGUUUUAUGUUCAACUCCGUCCCACUGUUUAACAUCAAAGCUUUCUUAUGGUGCCUCUACAACCAAUUAAAUUCAUUUUGUACUAUUCAUGUAGGUAUAUCUCAGGGUGACUUUAUUUGUGUUCAUAUGAAUUGGAACUAAGCAUUGAACGAUCCAUAUGCAGCUUCAUGAGGCAUUUAGGUGAAGUCAGUACAAUGCUCAUUUGCCAAGGACUCAUGGAACGAUGUCAGGUUUAGGUGAGGUACGCGCAUCAGGAAUCAUGUUAGCAUGUGGUCAUGCCAUAAGUCACCAGUUCCUACAUUUUCCUUCUAUAAUUGCUCUUGUUUUUCAUAAAUUCAAUCAAAGCAAUUGAUGGAUCACAUGAACAGGUUGACAAAUGAGCAUGCAUCUGCGGAGCAGAGGGGUCUUCUAGCCUAACAAAGUCUUGGUGGCAGCGGUGUGUAAAAGACUUACGAACUUCAGAUCAGAGAAGACCAUGCACCUGUGCCGGCGAAGAGCUCGUCGUCGCCGCCACGGCAGGGCGCCUGGGCGGCUGCACCCGUGUUGGGGAAGAGCUCGUCGUCGGGUGCCUUGGCGGCUGCGCAGGGCA